rnacentral:rRNA from 1 species
UACGUAGGUGGCAAGCGUUGUCCGGAUUUAUUGGGUUUAAAGGGUGCGUAGGCGGCUUUGUAAGUCAGUGGUGAAAUAUGGCAGCUCAACUGUCAAGGUGCCAUUGAUACUGCGGAGCUUGAGUACAGAUGAGGUAGGCGGAAUUGACGGUGUAGCGGUGAAAUGCUUAGAUAUCGUCAAGAACACCGAUAGUGAAGACAGCUAACUAAGCUUUAACUGACGCUGAGGCACGAAAGUGUGGGGAUCAAACAGG